AGCACAACUGCUGGAUCAUAUGAUAAGAGUAUGUUUAAUUUUGUAGGCAACUGCCAAACUGUCUUUCAAAGUAACUGUACCAUUUUGCACUUCCACUAGCAAU
rnacentral:pre_miRNA from 2 species